rnacentral:rRNA from 1 species
UACGGAGGGUGCGAGCGUUGUCCGGAAUCACUGGGCUUAAAGGGCGCGUAGGCGGGCCAGCCAGUCUGUGGUGAAAGCCUCCAGCUUAACUGGAGAAGUGCCGUGGAUACUGCUGGCCUCGAGGAGGAUAGGGGCAUCUGGAACGGUCGGUGGAGCGGUGAAAUGCGUUGAUAUCGACCGGAACGCCGGUGGCGAAGGCGAGGUGCUGGGUCCUUUCUGACGCUGAUGCGCGAAAGCCAGGGGAGCAAACGGG